UUUUACAGAUGACGGUUAUGUUGCUUGUAUGCUGAAACUGUGUGCCCUCUAUGGAGAUGUUGAACUCAGCUUUAAGAGUUGGAAACCUGAUAGCAGCUUGGAGUUCCCUUGGAAAUCACCAGAGAUGGCCCAAGAGCACCUAAAAGGAAUAGAGUAGGUGAAUGUGGAUCUGUUUUGAGACUGGAAAAAAAAAAAUUGCUGUUGCUGUGAGACUUGGGGUCUUUCUGCUACACCAAAAGCUUAUGAAAGAAGAAAAGCUGAGUCCUGUUGAUCAGGAUUGCAUACAUGUGUUUGCAUUCACACCUUAAUGUUCUUUGCAAUAGUUCUGUUCCUUCCUCACUUCCUCCCCCCCCCCCCCCCGCUUCCUCCACCCAAGGUCUAAUUAAAACAAGGAUGCACUGGGCUGCCUUUUGGUCUGUUUCAUCUGCUGAUAUUUUUUUAUGUUAAAUCCACCAAGGAAAUCUCCUGAAGGCUUUGAAGACUUGGGGCGUGUGAAUAAAGAUGUCACAAUGCUAGACUUGGGGCUUCUUAAUGAGGACAGAAGGCUUGAUGUCAGAACACUUCAGUGCCCAAAGGAAAGAAAUGCUUUCCAGCAAGCUCCCUUUCUCACUUCAUUUUUUUGUAUCCAUGUUGCUAAGGCUAAAGUUUUUUUUUUUUUUUCCUCUCCUCUAUCUUUUAUUCUUUCUCCAUCCUUCAA